rnacentral:lncRNA from 1 species
GAUCACUUAAUGGCAUGAUGCUGCCAACCAUCAUGCAAUGAGCCAAUGAUCACUAGCUCAAAUGCUCAAUGCCUCUCAAUCAUCCUCAUACUCAAUCUCAUCUUCAUCCACUAUCUCCUCAUCAUCAUGAUCGGAUUCAAACUCCUCCUCCUCAAGGUCUCUCACUCUUGCACUCCUCCGAAGUUGGAGUUGCUCUUGUGCUCCCAUUGCUUCACCAAGUAGAUCCCAUGAUAUCCCCGUACCCGGAUGAACAUCUACAUCCUCCUCAUCAAGAUAAACAACGCUUGCAUAAUCAUCCCCUCCUUCAAAUAGAAAUCCUUGAGCUUCGGUAGCAUCGGUGCUAAUGAGCACAUCCCAUUUCUUCUUCUCUAGGAGCUUUUGUUUCCUAGACAACAUCCUAUUGUUGAACCUUAUGAAGACCAAAUUGUUGCAUCGCUCCGUUGUGAGCCUAUUUCUUCUCUUGGUAUGUAUCUACAUAUUAAACAUCAUUUUGCAUGAGCAUAUUAAACAUCAUUUUGCAGCAUCAAGGUAGCAGCAGCAGUAGCAUGGUAGCAGCAGCAGCAGGAAGCAAGCAUCAAUAGCAGC